rnacentral:rRNA from 1 species
GUGCCAGCCGCCGCGGUAAUACGUAGGAUGCUAGCGUUGUCCGGAUUUACUGGGUGUAAAGGGAGCGCAGGCGGGUUGGUAAGUCGGUGGUGAAAUUCUCGGGCUUAACCCGAGUACUGCCAUCGAUACUGCUAAUCUUGAGUGCAGAAGAGGUUGAUGGAAUUCUAGGUGUAGCGGUGAAAUGCGUAGAUAUCUAGAAGAACACCGAUGGCGAAGGCAGUCAACUGGUCUGCUACUGACGCUCAUGCUCGAAAGCGUGGGGAUCAAACAGGAUUAGAUACCCCGGUAGUCC